AGAAGUAUAUAUUAUACAUAUUUGUUUUACAGCUAGCAAAGGUUUUUCUAGAUAAUGCAUCUACACGAAUAUUUUCAAAGUUUAAUUCAGGAAAAAAUGCUCUGCUAGCUGCUGCCCUUAAUAAACCUACAUCAAAUGCUUUUGAAAAUUGCCAUCGAUACAGUUACUUUACAAUGAAAGAUGCCUCUGUGCACAUGCAUAUGUGUAUAUGCAUAUACAUACUAUAUAAAUUAGCUCUGAAUAUAUAAAGAAGGUGUUAGUGCAUGGGAAUGGAUGAAUUAGGAGAGCCUAAUUUCCUGAGUUUUUGCAAUGCUAUCAAAAUUUUAACUCCAGGGUUCUUAAUGCUGUAGACCACUCAGUAUUUUAGACUUUAAAGACUUUAGACUAUAAAAGGUUUUGUGGUACUGUUCUUAGCCCUUUAACAACAAAGUGUGCUUUAAGACUGUUGCUCAAACCUUACAUUAUCUUUAAAAUAUUUAUCUUAAGAUUUAAAGUAAAAUAUUUUAAGGCACUGUUGUAUGAAUUAGGAUUUAUUUUUAGAUGUAAAGGGUCAUAUGCAAUGUCAUUAAACCAGGCCCUGUCUCACACUCCCCAUCAAACUCCUCUCCUAGCCCCCUCCAAUUAGGAAGCCACAACAGAAAUUUUCAAAUCUAUUUUUCAGUUUCCCUAACUUCCCCGGCUGCARUCAUGAUGCACUGCGGUAAUUUUCUUCUCUCUGCUAAAAACCCCUCAGUAACAUGGGGAUGACAAGAUGCCUGGGACGAGGAAGUGAAAGACUGAACACUGAAAGAGCUAUUUGACCUGCAGCAUGCUGUGGGCAGUCCCACUUGAAUCUGUCGUGUCAGUGACACCAAUAAAACCACUGGGCACUGAUACUACUAAGGGACUUCUUACUACCAAACCUUUUGGAGAAGAGAUCAGAAGACUUCAAGGAGCUGUGGAUAGAGAAGAAGGUGCUAAUCAGCUUGUCACGAUCCCGGGUGUGACAAAGAAGCCCCACCUGGUAUGCUUCCUCACCUUCCUCCUCUUAACACACCACGAAGCGUCCACCGUCUGUAUGUAAACAGUCAUUACUGCCAUGGCAAUCCAGCUCAGUAGAAUGUAACUCAAAAUAAAGUUCCUCUAUCAAUAUUUGUUCUACUUCUG
ensembl:lncRNA